GGAGUUGUGGCUCAGUGGUAGAGCACUCAUCUAGCACAUGUAAGGCCCUGAGUUCGAUCCUCAGCACCA
rfam:Ictidomys tridecemlineatus contig089073, whole genome shotgun sequence.